rnacentral:misc_RNA from 1 species
AUAAAUGCUUUAUUGCAUCCACCUUUUGUGCACCGUAAAAAUUUUCACUUGAAUUUUGUCUGAUUAAUCCUUGUUCUGAAAGGAACAUGAAUUAUAAUCAAAUA